AUGGCUGCUUGGCCGCGGGACCUGUGGAACAAUUGGUCCAUCCAAAUCCUGGUGCUCCUCAGCCUCGUUCUCCAAGUCGCCCUGUUCCUCUUCGCCGGGAUCCGCCGGCGUGGAGCGCACCCUGUGCUCCGGUUCCUGCUCUGGCUGGCGUACCAGCUGUCCGACUACACGGCGACCUACGCACUCGGCCACCUCUCCCUCAAGGGCGCGCCGCGUGAUCACCCGAUCGUGGCCUUCUGGGCUCCGUUCUUGCUGCUGCACCUGGGAGGCCCCGACAACAUCACCGCCUACUCUCUGGAGGACAGCAAGCUCUGGAAGCGCCACCUGCUGCACGCCAUCCUCCAGGUCUUGGGAGCCGUGUACGUGCUCUACGAGCACGUCGCGGACGAGGGGGCUUUGCUCCGGCUUGCCUCCGCCUUGAUGUUCGCCGUCGGCGCCGUCAAGUACGGCGAGAAGACAUGGGCGCUCAUGCGCGGCAACCUGGACACCAUCCGCGGCUCCGUCAGGAAGCAACCACCGGCCAUGCACCGGCAUUUCCAUUCUCAAGACAGAGUGUUCAAGGAUGCGGUAUUGGACGAGGAAUCCCUGGUGCGACGAGCGCACUCGUUGUUCCACAUCUGCAAGCGCGCCAUAGUGGAUUACCCGGUGAUCGAAGACGACGCAGCGGACGGACAAGAAGGCGCCACCGAGAUGGUGGCCGGGGUGAAGCUAUGGCGGCUGAUGGAAACCGAGCUGUCUCUCAUGUACGACAUGCUCUACACCAAGGCGCCCGUCAUUCACACCUGGUUCGGCUACUCGGUACGUCUCAUCUCGCCGUUCGCCAUUGUCGCCUCGCUGCUCUUGUUCAAGCUCGUUGGCAAGCACGCCCACCGUGGGGCUGACGUGAACAUCACCUACGUCCUGUACGGCGGCGCAUUCUUCAUGGAGACGACGUCGCUGCUGAACGCGCUAGGCUCCUCGUGGACGUUCGCCUUCCUGAGCACCACUAGAUGGCGAUGGCUUCGGUACGCGGCUCUGUGCAACGAGAGGUGGGAUCGGCUUAGGCGCCUUGUUGCAUAUCUUCACCACCUUGUGAGGAUCGGAGGAGGAAGCCGGUACAGAUCAAGAAGGUGGUCACGCACCAUGGGGCAGUACAACAUGCUGCACUUGUGCACACGCUCUGCAGGUAGUGCAUUGUUUACCACGCCUCUGCUCGGCAGGUUCGCCAGGACAGUGGGGAUGGGGCUCAGCGAGUGGUGGAACAGGGAGCAUUACUCGUGGGGCAUCGAGAUGCCCAGCCAUGUCAAAGAUCGUGUCGCUCAACAUAUGCUCAAAUUGUACAUGGAUGGGGAUGGGAUCAACUCACUAGGCAUGCUCAGGAAGAGGUGGGGCGAGGAGCCGCUGCUUCGCAAGGGCUUGCUCCACGGCAUACUCAAGGACUCGCUCGGCGUCGAGUUCCAGGAGUGCAUCAUCAUCUGGCACCUCGGCAAGAGUGACCGGGGCGAGGACGAGGAGGCGUCUCUCGACGUCGAGGCAAUCCGGGUAAUCUCCAACUACAUGAUGUUCCUCCUCGUGCAACAGCCGGACAUGCUGCCAGGACUCUCCCAGAACAGGCUCUACCAGCGAACCUGCGAAAGCCUGGUCAACAUUCCUACCCCUGCUAGGCAUCAAAGCAUGGGCAUCUGUGCUAAGCUCAAGAAUCUGUUCCGCCUUCACGACGACCCUGGUUCAAAGGCCAGGGUCGCUGACAGAGAGGAGCUCGCGAAGAUCCUGUAUGACCAGUAUGAGAGCAAAGGCUUCAGCCAUGAUGCUCCUCGUCUCCCCUAUGUAGCCAAGCUUGCAAAGCAGCUGCUAACGAUGCAGGAGGAUGGCACGGCCGACUCGGUGAAACUUGUCCUUGAUGUGUGGACCAAUAUCCUUUUCUACGCGAGCAACAAAUGCAGCAGGAAGGCCCAUGCCGAGAAGCUCAACAGUGGCGGCGAGCUGACGACCAUCCUGUGGCUCAUGGCAGAACACUUCUACCAACUUUAUUGUGAGAGAACUAUCAAAAACGAGAAGGAUCGGUUAUCUACACAAGGACAGGCAUCAGCGGUCAGGCAGGGAGAUGAUGGUAUAUAG
rnacentral:rRNA from 1 species